GCCCGCCGCCGCCACUGCUCCUCCCCGUGCCCUUGCUCCCUUGAGAAGCUGCCACGCUGGAGGAUUUCACCUGCCGCCUGUGGCCAUGGAUUCACACUGCUGUCCUCUAAAAAUUGCCCUCAGCCAUUAGCGGAAGUCACAAAGUCCACAGAACGCAGGCCUUCGAUGGACAGGUGGUCCGGAAGGACAUGUUUUUGUCUGAGGCUACGGAAUUCUUGGCAAA